rnacentral:tRNA from 1 species
GCCGAAGUGGCGGAACUGGCAGACGCGCACGACUCAAAAUCGUGUACCUUGUGUAUGUGGGUUCGAUUCCCACCUUCGGCACAA